rnacentral:rRNA from 1 species
GACGAACGCUGGCGGCGUGCUUAACACAUGCAAGUCGAACGGUAAGGCUCCAGCUUGCCUUGUUUCACGAUUGGCGAACGGGUGAGUAACACGCGUGGGACCUGUCCUUCUCUUCGUGAUAUGCCUUGGAAACUGGGUCUAUUACCGGAUAUGAUCAUUUUGUGGAUAUUGUUGAGGAGAGUUUGUGCGUUUUGGGAUGGGUUCGCGGCUUAUCCGCUCGUUGGUGGCGUAGUGGCCUACCAAGGCGGUGACGGGUAGCCGGCCUGAGAGGGUCGACGGCCACAUUGGGACUGAGGCACGGCCCAGACUCGUACGGGAGGCAGCAGGGGGGAAUAUUGCACAAUGGGCGGAAGCCUGAUGCAGAGACGCCGCGUGGGGGAUGACGGCCUUCGGGUUGUAAACACCUUUCACAAUCGACGAAGAGUUUCUGACGGUAGAUGGAGAAGAAGCAACGGCUAACUACGUG